UCCUGUAGAGCAGAGAUGAUGUGGUUGCUAAGGAACGAGGCUCUGGAGAAGGAGCUGAAAUAUUGAUGAAGCCACUGCAGAGAUCGGACCUGACAGCAGCCCUGAAUUAUUGACCAGCCCUGCAGCCGACAGUGAGGGAUUUCUACUUCCCAUGCAGGGAGGGCAUCCCUUCAUUCAUUCAUGUUUUUAGGGGCUAGGCCUACACUCUCUGUCUGGAUUCUGCUUUCAGCAGACAGGCCCCAUAGGAAGGAAUGAAGGGCUUGGUGGGGGAGGGUGGGGAGCUGCCCUGGGCACAUACAGAUUCUAAAAGACUUAGUGUGUAGGUGUGGGGGAAGGAGGGGCUUGGCCAUUACUGAGGACAAGCUGAUUGUUUUCCAGCCGAGGAAGGAAAGGCCCAGAAAGGGGAAGAGAGCUGAUUUGAAGUCACAGAGUGGCAGAGCUGGGUGUAGACACAGGGCCCCAAACACUGGCCCAGCCCCUUUCACCUCCUCCAGGUAUGUUGGGGGCCCACAGGUGGGAGGAGGCCUCCCCUCACUUCACAGGUACUCUUUUUACAGGGAUUGUGCUGGAGGUGGAGAGUCAGAACAGGGUCUGACGCGUGGUGCCACUCGCUACUUCUGGAAAACAUGGCACUUUCUCUGUACUCCCACUUCCCCAAGAACAAAGCUGAAUCCUGGAUGUGGCUGGGACAACUGCAAGACCCAGGAAUGUAAUCCUCCGGGGCAGAGAUGCUGUCCAUCUUGCCACUGCUGUUUCCCUACCUGGAGAACAGUAUCUAGAAUCUGGGGGACCUUCAGUGUUUGCUGCUGGACUGAUGGGAGGGGCAGCUCUAUCGGCCUCACCAUGCUACUGUCAAAAGUGUUCCUUCCCGUAUCUCCUUUCAUUCCUUCACCUCAGAAAUGCACAACCUCCCUUCAAUGAACACCAAUCUCAGAGGCCAAGGAAAACAACAUAAAGGUGGCAAAUGGGGGACUUCCCUGGUGGUCCAGUGGUAAAGAAUCCGCCUUCCAAAGCAGGGGGCGUGGGUUCGAUCCCUGGUCAGGGAACUAAGAUCCCGAAUG